AAAAAAAAACAUAAGCCCAAUGUUUCAAUUUAAAUCAGGGCCCAAAGACUUUAAUAAAAUCGGCCCAAAGACUUUAAUAAAAUCGGCCCAUAGCCAAAGCCCAAUACCAUUUAAACACAAGCCCAAUCUUUUAAAAGAUAAAGGCACAAUUAAAAUAAAUGAAUAGGCCCAAAUUCCAUUUAAAUUAAUUCAAGCCCAAUAAAAAUAAUGAGAAGAGCCAAUUAAAUUAAAGACUGGCCCAUUUUGAAUUUAUUUGUGAAAGCCCAAGCAAUUAAAAUAAAAUCAAGCCCAGCUUAAAAUAAUUCGGCUCACAAUAAAAUAUCUCUAGCUCAUUCUUUAAUAAACUCAGCCUAAAUAUCGGCCCAUCAAGAAAAUAAGAAGCAGCCCAAUUAAAUUAAUAAAAGAGGCCCAAAGUAAAUAAAUGCAAUGGCCCAAACCAAAUAAAAUGACAAGCCCAAAAAUUUAAAAGGAAAGAGCCCAAAUCAAGCCCAUCUCUUUUUCUUCUCUUCUCAAAUUCUCGGUCCUUCAUUUUUCUCUCUUCUCAAACUCGCCGCUGCCCUCUUUUUCUUCUCUUCUCAAAUUCUCUUUCCCUCUCCGGCGAAGCCGCGCCGGCCGAGCUUCUGCUGCUGUCUCUCUCUAAUCCCAACUCAAGGAGCCGCUCAUCACUCUUCCUCAAAGCUUACGCUCGGCAUCCUCAAAACUCUGAUCGGCUUCACCUUCUCCGGCUAAAUCUGGCAGGCUGCGCCUCCUCCGGGCGUUCAGCUGUCAUCUGCUUCGGUUGGCUUCGACCGGCGACGAGUCUAACCCCGGCGCCGUUCUCUCUCCUCCCCGCAGAGCCCCAAAAUCGAGCCCUAAAAUCUGGAACACCGCUGCUACUCCUUCGUUCGGAAUCCGGCGAGCAUCGUCGGUUGGGAGCGGCGCCGUCCAAUUCCGGUUCUCAAAUCCCCCUCCGACGUCGAGCCCUAACUCUUCCCUGAGGUUUCAAACUCCGACCUUCAUCUCAAAUCCGACCGCGGAACCCAGAUCGAGCUCUAACUUUCAAUUACCAGGUCACCGCUGCUCCGCGUCCCCGUCUGAAAUCGCCGCCGACUGCUGCUGCUUCGCCUGGAGUCGUCGCCGACUGGAGUUGCUGCUGCUCGUCCGGUGGUCAGCGGACGUCGUCUGGGAGCGCCGCCGCCGGUCUUCCACGGCUACCGCGUCGCCGUCCCCUUCACCUCUCGAUCCGACCUCAGCCGAGGCGGGUGCCGCCGCCGCCGCUGUCCAGAAUCGGCGAGGGUACUUCGCCGCUGCUUCUCCGGCGUUCGGCUCUUCCUUCUCUGUCCGUUGAGCUCCGUCAGGCAGCAAGAGAUGCCGCUGAAAUCUGUCAUCUGCUCAAGAACCAGCUCAAGCCUCUCUCUCUCUCUUGGUUCAGGCGAUGUCGCUUCUGCUCAGCUGACGACCUCCAUCUCCUCUUCAUCGGUCAGCGUUGACGUCAUCUGGUAUCCCUCCCCGAUUUAAUGAAAUCAGGUUGAAAUGGAGGCUCCCCUGCUCUUUGGGAGAUUCUUGGUGAAAAGUGAUAGUGAGUCUUGCGUUGCUUGGCUGAAGUUGAGACUACGAUAAGGAAGAGUUGUUGCUGCACUAGUAUGGUGGGGGAGUUGGUGGUUGUGGAGUUGGUGGGGAGAAAAGGAUGGUGGGAAGUGUGGUGGAGUGGAUGGUGGAAGAGUAGGUGUAGUGGUGGGAAAAAAUGUAGUGGAGGAUUAAUGAUGUAUAUUCUAUGUCUCGGUGAUUCUGUAAUUGUAAUAAAAUACUGGCUUCUGUUCAUUAUUCGUGUAUAAAUUAAAUACGUAGAUUUAAUUCACUUCA